CAGUCGCCACGGGAACACGGAGGGUGCAAGCGUUAUCCGGAUUUAUUGGGUUUAAAGGGUCCGUAGGCGGAUCUGUAAGUCAGUGGUGAAAUCUCACAGCUUAACUGUGAAACUGCCAUUGAUACUGCAGGUCUUGAGUAAAUUUGAAGUGGCUGGAAUAAGUAGUGUAGCGGUGAAAUGCAUAGAUAUUACUUAGAACACCAAUUGCGAAGGCAGGUCACUAAGAUUUAACUGACGCUGAUGGACGAAAGCGUGGGGAGCGAACAGGAUUAGAUACCCCAGUAGUCCCUGUCUCUUAUAA
rnacentral:rRNA from 1 species